UAAUACGUAGGAGGCGAACGUUAUUCGGAUUUACUGGGCGUAAAGGGAGCGUAGGCGGUUCUUCAAGUCAGGUGUGAAAUCUUCUGACUCAAUCAGAAGGCGCCAUCUGAUACUGAUGGACUUGAGAGCAACAGAGGGAAAUGGAAUCCCCAGUGUAGCGGUGGAAUGCGUAGAUAUUGGGGAGAACACCAGUGGCGAAGGCGAUUUCCCAGGUUGUUUCUGACGCUGAGGCUCGAAAGCGUGGGGAGCGAAGCGGAUUAGAUACCCGCGUAGUCCACGCCGUAAACGGUGGACACUAGAUAUAGGAGGUAUCGACCCUUUCUGUGUCGAAGCUAACGCUUUAAGUGUCCCGCCUGGGGAGUACGGCCGCAAGGCUA
rnacentral:rRNA from 1 species